UACGUAGGGUGCAAGCGUUAAUCGGAAUUACUGGGCGUAAAGCGUGCGCAGGCGGUUUUGUAAGUCUGUCGUGAAAUCCCCGGGCUCAACCUGGGAAUUGCGAUGGAGACUGCAAGGCUAGAAUCUGGCAGAGGGGGGUAGAAUUCCACGUGUAGCAGUGAAAUGCGUAGAGAUGUGGAGGAACACCGAUGGCGAAGGCAGCCCCCUGGGUCAAGAUUGACGCUCAUGCACGAAAGCGUGGGGAGCAAACGAGGAUACGA
rnacentral:rRNA from 1 species